ensembl:lncRNA
CUUCUCCCUUCACAGGUUACGUCCUGCUGCAGAGGCCUGUGUGGGCCCCUCCUGUUAGCGGAGGUGGGGCUCAGCUGGGAUGCGGUAACUGCCGAGCUAGGACGUGGAGAGGCCCCCAGGUGGUAGGGGGCCCUGGACAUCUCCAGAAUCGGGGUGAGCUGCUGUUAGACAAGGGAACACUCCCGUUUACUGCACCCACUGCUGACAGCCCAGAGGAAGACGAGGCCGGGACCCUCACCAGGUUGUAGUGGAACGAGGAGACUGAUGCUGCACGGGACUUUCUGUCCUGGGAGCGUGUUCUGUUCACCUUUCACGUGGCCUGGGAUUGCUCUCCCUGCUGUGGGUCAGCACUCACAAAGCCAUGGAUAACCUGCCAGGCGGGCGCCGGUGGACGCUGUCCCUGGGAGCUGGUGUCUUGUGCCAGGUCCCGAGGGGACUCUCACCCAGGAUAGGCCGAGGAGGCUGUGUCAGGGAUGUUUGCUGUGAGGCUGCUCUGAGCCAAGCUCCCUCCCUCCCUUCCUCCCCUCCACGUGGUGCGCACAGGGGGUCAGAAAAGGGGGAAGUGCUAAGUUCUGGGUGAAAAUCCAUUGCGUUUCCGCUGUCUCCAAAUUCCUGAUGCUUGGCACUGGCCAGAGUCCAGGUCUGCAGCUUGGACCCGGAGCAGCAUGACGCGUCCCUGGCAGAGAUUGUGUCCAUGACUCAGGUUCCUGGGGAAGUGAAAGCCCCUCCUGUAAACCUCCGUGACUUCCAGAGCUCCACCGUGACAGGACCGGGACCCUCACCUCUGCACUCAGACUCCAGAUGCCCCGGUGCUGCCCACACGGGACAGGCUUGGGAGCCGGACCAUCUCAUUAUGGGAGCUCAGCCACAGCUCAUCCUCGGCUCGGCUCCCAGAAUGUCCUGAUCCCCAGUGCUCCUGGCAGAGCACUGAGAACUGGGAAAGAAGGCUCUGCGCAAGUUAAAAUGCAUAAGGCUUUGAAAAGACAUCAACGUCAAUUUCAGUUUCAAGAACAAAAUGCAUUUCGUAGAACAGCGUCACAAUUACCUUGCGUUAUAAACACCCAAAUCCUGUUCGCACCGUCUGCACCCUCAUUUGUUAUGUAUUGUCUUAGUGCAGAGUGACACCUGCCUUCGCUUUAAUUAAAAGCUCAUAAUGUUCAAAUGUACUUAGAAGGAAAAAGGACAGAAUUCUCCUUUGGGGAUAAUUAUGUGCUUGUUACAGCUUGUUUACUACACCCCAGGGAGUGUGUGACUCAACCCACCUGCCCGUCACGGACCUUGCUGGAGCUUUGUCAUCAGCUGCAGGUGCUGAGAGGAUCUGAUGGCAGGUGCCUUCCUGAUCAGGUGAUCAAGAAUUUGGACUGUUUACAGCCCCAAGACCACUGCAAGGUCAAAGGGUAUUCUAGGCCCGCCGGAGGGCCAGUCAGGAAGGAAGUCAGCACCUCCCAGCCUGCAUACCAGAGCGCUCUGGGUGUGGGCCAUGGUCAGGAGGCAUUUUCCCAGGGAAGAAGCCGUCCCUGAGUUAGCAGACCGUUCAGCUCACUCACUCACUCCUUACUUCACGCAUUCAAAAUGUGUUUUCAGAGGGACCAGGCUCUGUCCUUGGUAUUGAAGGUACAAGUCAUAGCACAGCAGACUCGACCCUGCCCUCAAGUUCCCCAUCUAGAGAGGGAGACAGGCAAGGAGUGACCACUGUAAAGACAGAAUUGCGAACUGUAACGGACAUCAGGACAGAAUUCCAGGGAGCUUUGGGAACGUAUGACAGGGAGGGUCAGGGAGCUGACAUCUGAAGGAUGUGCAGUCAAGGACAGGACAUUCCAGGCAGAGGAAACAGCCAGUGCAAAGGCCUCGGGGUGAGAUGAUGCAGACCCCUUAGACACAGAAGUCAUUGUACCAAUAUGUGACACUGACAUGGGGUUCUGUGCUCACUGCUGUGAAUACACCUCCCCGUUUAAUUCUCAGUCCAGCCUCAGGAGUAAAGACAAGCUAAUGAGCACAUCAACACCAUCAUUCCCACUCCAUGGAUGAGGAUGUCGGAGCAUGUUGUGGAAGUAACUUGCCUAAGUUUACACAGCUCAUGAGUGAUGGGGCUACGACCUGACCCAGGCCACCUGGCUCCCUGUGCUGAGCUGCUUUAAGAUCUCUCAGUGUGGCUUCAGCUCUAAGAGGAGGUGGAGCAUGAUGUGAAGAGAUUGGGUGUGGGCAGGACCAGAGCCAGAGCAUGAGGGCCUGCAGGCCAUUGCAUCUGUCAGGAUCCUUUCUGUUGUGAGCAACAGCAAACUUAAACCACACCAGCUUAAAUCAAAAGAGAUGUUACUGGUGCACUUACCUGGAAUGUCUGGGGUGUGUUUCAGGCCUGGCUUGAUCCAGGGGUUCAAGUGACAUCGUCAGGGCCCACUCUUUUCUCUCCUCCUCUGUGCUGGCUCUGUCCAGCAACUGCAACCUUAACAUCCUCCUGAUUCCUGAUUCGAGUCUCAAGAAACACUGACUACCUCUUCAUAGCCAUUCAAGCAGAUCAUUUAUAGAGAGGCCUUGAUGGAGUUCAGUCACUACACCAUCCAAAUGGUCUCAAACACAUGUUGCUCUCUCAAGGCUGCUUCUUCGAACAUGGCUUCCACUGUGGGAACGGUGGACAGGGGAUACAAUCCAAGGAUGAGAUGGGUGAGGAGCCUUGGAUCGCCCAGGCCAGCUCUCAGCAGAUGACCUUCCAAACGCAGUGGUUGGCAACUGGAUACCAGGGAAUGGACAAACCAAGUGGAAAAAUACUGGAACCAAAAAACUCCACUGUAAACCCUGGUUAGAGCCAGGGCAACUGAUGAGAGUUGUGAGAGUUGAAGCAACUAUAAAGAAAUCUGUCUGGUAGGGUUCGAUGUGCAUGCGCUGCUUGUGGAAUUGUUCAAGCAUCUAUUCAAAAAAAUUUUUUAAAUCAAUAAUGUGCUGUUGGCAUAAAGUUAAAUGAUCAUUUUUCAAAAAAAAAAAAUGAUGUGUGGGAAUGUUUUCCCUGGCCAUUGGCAAAAAUCUUUCCCCUGGCCAGGAAGAGCACACAAGCACAGGCAGAGUCGGAGGCUGGAUCCCAGAGGCCAGGAAGCAGGUGGUGGCCCGUCACCCUCUCCCCGCCCUAAGGUCAUGAGUUGGCUUCACCCCCAACCCCCAGCCCCUGUCCUCAGUGAGGAGCAGUGUUCUCCCAAAUGGUCUUUCUGACUGGUGGCUGCUUUUUGGUUUCAUCUUGGUUCUCUCUGAAACAUUUUAGAUAACUGAGUAGUUCCUCCAGAUAUAUCAUCAGCGGUUUUGUCUGGCACUGCAUUUUUUGUUUUCUUCCUGUGUCUCUGAUUCUGUAUCUGCUUCCAUCAUUGUCUCUCCUCCUCAUGACUCCGAAAUACAGACAUUCCCUAAGACUCAAUAUUGGCCACCUUCUCUUUGUAAACUCUCCCUUGGGAUUCCAUCUACCCACCAUGGUCCAAGUGUCAUGGGAAUAGCUCUUAUCUCUGCAUCUCCAGCCCUGACUCCUUCUCCAGACUCCACUUCCGCUGAAGUCCUGCCAUGUGACAUGCCUGAUAGGCUCAGGCUAGAUCCAAUUGUGUGACCUCUCAGUACCAGCUCCUGCCAUCUUGUUCAGGGCAGCCCCAUCCCUCCAGCAUCCAGGUACCGAAUGUUGAUGCCUUCUUUGACUCCAUGAAAUCUGCUCAUGACCCACGUCCAAUCCAAGACUAAGAUACAGGGGUCUCUUGGAUCUGUAUCCAGACAAAAUGGGUGUCUUUGAUGGCAUUUGGUGACACCAAGAGAGCUAGAAUCCUGUGCAGGUCGAGUCUCAACUCACUGAAAAGCAGGGCAGUCUCCAUCCACUGAGCACCAUUCUCUCACAAGAGACAUUUGGGCAGUACUCUCCAAAGGCCCACUCUUGGGAUUCGUAAAUGCCUACAACAAAUCCCCUGCUGAGGAGGUGCGGCUGAUGGGGCAGCACAUCAGAGGCUGCUGUCGUUUCUUAGUCAGAUGGCCACCGAGCAAAUGCAAAAGAUCAGCUCCCAACACCAAGGCAUCCAAGAGUCACACGCAGGAAACGGGCACCCGAGGUUGAAAUGUGUCACCCAUCCUCUGGAGGUGCUGUGACCUCCACACAGAACAAUUUGGAGUCUCUCGGCAGGUGAUCACAGCCCUCUCACCUGGCAGGUGGCUGAGUUAACAAUGUGCUGCUGCGACCUAUCAGCUUUGGGAGAGGAUCUCCUACAGCUCAGAAGGACUCAUGAUAUAGAACGUUCCAAACCGAGCUGUCAGAUUGGUUGUUCAAUACACGGCCCCUCGCUCAGUCCAUAGAGCCCACAUCUGUGUGUGCUGGAGACACUAAUAAGGCUGUUGGUGCUGGGUGAUGGAGGAUGAUGUCCCCAAUGGUCAGCACUGAGGGCUGUGACCUCCCACCAAAGAAAGAAGUCCUGAGAACUGCACACCGAGGAUAGAGCCACUUUUAGCAGAGAAGAGCUGGGCUAUCCCAACCCAGGAGAUUUACUGGUUUCCUUAGAGUAUGUUUGUCUCAUUCUGAUGGUUGAUCUCUCAUCGAGAACCAAAGUUAAAAUUGCUUCCAAGAUAAAGGCAAACACCCGGUGCCCAUUCUUCCCCCCUGCUCACUGAUGGUGUCUGAGGAGAGCCCUGAGCUCCUGUUGGUGGACAGGACUUACUAGAGCAGAGACUCCCAGACGUCAGCGUGCAGGAGCGUCCCCUGGAGGGCCGGGCCCCACCCCAGAGUUCCUGACGGAGCAGGUCUGGAGGUCAGGACUGACAGCUUGUUUCUGAUAAGUCCCCGGGUGACGCUGAUGCUGCUGGUCCAGGGACCCCACUUUGAGAAACACUGGAAUUAUGUGAAAGGAGCAACAUCCCAAGAUGGCGCAGGACCCAGUACUCAGCACGUCCCCAUAUAAUUCAGAUCCAAAGAGCAGGCCUUCCAGGGCUGGUCACUGACCUGAGGCAUUAGUGAGGGGGGAACCCAGGGUUCCUUUGAGAGGUGGCCCAAGUUAACCUGUGGUCAGAGAUGGCCCUGGCCAGUGUCCCUCUCCCACCCUCUGCCUUUCACUGGCCCCAACACAGGGUCUUACCUGUCUGAGACAUGUGGUCCAAGCCAUUCGAUCGUCAUGGUUUUAGUCAGGGUUGUGUGGCAAAACCCCCACCAUGUCAGUUUGAGGCUACAUUCUGCCAGGGCAGUUCCUCAGAGAUGACCCCACCUCUCCAUAUAGUCAGAGAAUGUAAAACAAAUUAAAAGUAAACUUGAAAAACUGGCACAGUGGUGGUGGCUGUCCGGGGGGACAAACCCUUCCAAACUGGUACCCACAAGCCUGGACGCUGCUGCUGCACCCCACCCCUCAGCGUUGGUGGGAGUCUCUCAGGGCCAUCUGCUCAGGGAGGCAGCCAUGCUUCAGACAGGUCUAUUCUUGCUUUAAUUAAGAUUCCCGUUGGUCUCGUCCUGCUCCUGGGGUUUCACUUCAUAUUUUAAAGGGCAGGUCUCAAGAUGGUAGAUGAUCUCAGAGAGCCCGGCAGGGGGCUGCAUGACUUACAGACACUCAGUGAGUGUGCGGUGACUGACCUGCCUGCACGCCCUCUACCUGGUUUUGUCACAUGCUUUGUCUUUAUCUCCUGGGUGUCAGAGUCAUGCUGGGGCACCCCGAGCAAUGGCCAGGGAUUCUCUGCCGUGUGCCUGCCUCUCCCAUGGGUCCCUGCUGCAUCUCCUGCUGUCCCAGAGCAAUGCCUCCUCAUGGUUGGCUCAUUUGGAAGCAGGGGCGUUGCUGAGCAUAGUGAUACCCACCCUGAGGAGUGGGGAUGGGAGGGAGGAGGUGGGGGUCCUGGUGACACCCACCCUGGGGAUGGGAGAAGAAGGGGGCAUUGAAGUGACAAAGGCCGGGGCUUCAUGGAUCUUGUGCCUAGUAUCUUCCUCCCUCUCUUCAGUCAAGAUGACAGAGACCCUGUGUUGUAGAUUGGGUGGAGGCUUGAGCGCAGCCCCCUCGUGAGUUCUCAUCUGUGCAGUCACACUGUUCUGAUUCUUUGGGAUUCUUGACCAACACUCGACACCUGGUGAGCGCCGUCUCCUCCUCAUCACUCCAGGAUUCUCUCCUCCGUGAGCUCUUCCUCCCUCCCACACUGGAGCUCUGACGCUGGAUCCUUCACUCCCCUAGGGCACCUGGUGUGCCUCAGUUUACCCCUCAUCGCUGGGCAUGGUGACAGAGUCUGUCUCCCUCACGAGACUUGGGGUUCCCUAAAGGCUGGACUUGUCUUCAUCUCUGCAACCCCGAAGCGCAGCCCAGUGCCAGGGAGCAGGGGCUCUUGGGAAGGGGCGCUGAGUGAAUGAAUCAAUGAAUGAAUGAUGAACACAUGCAUGAACAUAGAAAGUGCCGCCCGUGGAUCCAGCGUCUCCCAGGAGGAGGUGUGACAUGGCCAUAAUGAACUUCCAGGUCAGAAGCCCGAGGUCCCGGCACCGACAGCUCCGGGCCACAAAUCCCUGGAAAACUGAGGACUGUCCGGCAUGGCAGCUCUCGGGAGCUGCAGUGUUUCCACGAAUUUAAUACCGUUGAAAUAAAACCCCUGAGUCUGGGAAAUGAAAUACCAUGAAUUGCUCAGCGUCAGUCUUUAGAUCCUGGAAAACCCCUGUCUGAGAGGAGCAGCCACUGCGAAACAGGCAUGAAAUGCGCUACUCUUAAAGAGAUGGUUUAUCUUUACUUAAAAAGUAAAGCACUAAAGGGAGAUCUUGGGAAAAACUCCUCUAGUUGAAGCUCUCUGAAGAUUCCUGUUAACACGGUCCGAGCUGUCAGGGUCCCCUUGUCACAUGCAGAAAGACAGGAGUCACUGCACUGGGAGGAGGCCCCGGGCAGGUGGGGGAUGCGGCCCGGAUGCCCUUUACUCCCAAUGCUGUUGCCUCCUCUGCUCCCCCAAGCCCACCCUGCUUCAGGCUCAGGCCCCGCUUGAGUCUCCACCUCCCACAUCCUCGGCUCAUGUGGGUGGUUCCAUGUGGGUCUUACCCUCACUCCCCCACCCCAGGACCCCGGAUCUCACUGUGAAAACUGGAUGCUCUCUGCUUCUUUCUGGGGCGUUUGUAAUCAUAACCAAUAAAUAAAUUAAAAAGAAAGUGGAGGCCAGCGCUGCUGAGGACUCCUGAGGAAGCAUCUCAUCCCUUAGUCGCUGGAUGCUGAGCUGCUUGGCACAAAAGAAAAAGACCAGAUUGAAACCAAGAGACGAGGAGGAGAAGGAGCCACAGAAGUUUUCCAAGGACGCUGUAAUGCUGUCCUCCUCCCUGGCUCCCAGAGCUCCUGGGUCGGCAGCACCAGCCCAGGCAGGCGAGGGUUACACAAAUGACACCAAGAGGAGAGCGAGGAGUGUCCUGGGGGUCAGGCUCGGCCACUUAAAGAGCAGGAGCUGCAGGGCAGGGGUUGCUGGGUUCUGUGACGGAGUCAGGGUGUCCGUCCAGAGAGAUGCGGCCUGAACUCCCCCAGGAAGGUCACACCCUCCUGUCACGUGCAGCACCCGGGAGGGCACCGUGGGCAGUGCCACCAGCUGUGGUUCUGCAGAGACUCAGAAAUGCACUCCCAAUGCACGGUCCCUACCACCACCCCCCCCCCCCCCCCCCCCCCCGUCAGC